rnacentral:rRNA from 1 species
AACGCGAAGAACCUUACCAAGGCUUGACAUAUGCCGGAAACGGCCAGAGAUGGUCGCCCCCUUGUGGUCGGUAUACAGGUGGUGCAUGGUUGUCGUCAGCUCGUGUCGUGAGAUGUUGGGUUAAGUCCCGCAACGAGCGCAACCCUUGUUCUGUGUUGCCAGCAUGCCUUUCGGGGUGAUGGGGACUCACAGGAGACUGCCGGGGUCAACUCGGAGGAAGGUGGGGACGACGUCAAAUCAUCAUGCCCCUUAUGUCUUGGGCUGCACACGUGCUACAAUGGUCGGUACAAAGGGCUGCGAUGCCGCGAGGCGGAGCGAAUCCCAAAAAGCCGGCCUCAGUUCGGAUUGGGGUCUGCAACUCGACCCCAUGAAGUUGGAGUUGCUAGUAAUCGCAGAUCAGCAUGCUGCGGUGAAUACGUUCCCGGGCCUUGUA